GGAAUAUUGGACAAUGGGCGCAAGCCUGAUCCAGCCAUGCCGCGUGAGUGAUGAAGGUCUUAGGAUUGUAAAGCUCUUUCACCGGGGGCGAUAAUGACGGUACCCGGAGAAGAAGCCCCGGCUAACUUCGUGCCAGCAGCCGCGGUAAUACGAAGGGGGCUAGCGUUGUUCGGAAUUACUGGGCGUAAAGCGCACGUAGGCGGACUUUUAAGUCAGGGGUGAAAUCCCGGGGCUCAACCCCGGAACUGCCUUUGAUACUGGGAGUCUUGAGUGUGGUAGAGGGGAGUGGAAUUGCGAGUGUAGAGGUGAAAUGCGUAGAUAUUCGCAGGAACACCAGUAGCGAAGGCGGCUCACUGGACCACAACUGACGCUGAGGUGCGAAAGCGUGGGGAGCAAACA
rnacentral:rRNA from 1 species